rnacentral:rRNA from 1 species
GACGAACGCUGGCGGCGUGCCUAACACAUGCAAGUCGAGCGGGGACGCGGAAGUAGCAAUACGGAAGUGUUCUAGCGGCGGACGGGUGAGUAACGCGUGAGCAACCUGUCCCAAACAGGGGGAUAACGAACCGAAAGGUUCACUAAUACCGCAUAAGACCACGGAGUCACAUGGCUUUGAGGUCAAAGGAGAAAUCCGGUUUGGGUGGGCUCGCGUCUGAUUAGCUAGUUGGUGGGUAACGCCUACCAAGGCGACGAUCAGUAGCCGACCUGAGAGGGUGAUCGGCCACAUUGGAACUGAGACACGGUCCAAACUCCUACGGGAGGCAG